rnacentral:lncRNA from 1 species
UGUAACUCGUCAGGCUCAGUAGCUACGGGGCAGUUGUCUGGACAGGUUACUCGCCAGCUAGAAGCUUGGUAAAUGUGCAACCUUGAAAGUGUCAUAAUUAUGCACAGAUAUGCGCGCUGAGUGUGUGAAAUGUUAUGACGAGGUUAGUUAAAAUGUUUGCCAUCCAAUUUGAGUGUGGGGAGGCAUUAUUUGUCCUGACGAUUUGCUCUCUACCUACGGCCAUUUGGCAGUCCAGAGACGUGUAGCGCCCAAGGCUCAGCAGCUACGGGACAGUUGUCUGGACGAGGUUAUUUUUGACGUGCAGUCCCGAAAGCANNNNNNNNNNNNNNNNNNNNNNNNNNNNNNNNNNNNNNNNNNNNNNNNNNCGGCAUAUGCUUGCAUAUUGCAUAUGCUUGCAGACGGCAUAUCCUUGCGGACUGCACAUGCUUGCGGACUGCAUAUGCUUGCAGACUGCACAUGCUUGCGAACUGCAGAAGCUUGCGGACUGCAUAAGCUUGCGGACUGCAUAUGCUUGCAGACUGCAUAUGCUUGCAGAUUGCAUAUGCUUGCAGACUGCAUAUGUUGCAGACUGUAUAUGCUUGCAGAUGGCAUAUGCUUGCAGACGGCAUAUGCUUGCAGACGGCAUAUGCUUGCAGACGGCAUAUGCUUGCAGACCGCAUAUGCUUGCAGAUUGCAUAGUGUAGCAUAGCAUAUCAUAUCAUAGCAUAGCAUAGCAUAGCAUAGCAUAGCAUAGCAUAGCGUAGCACAGCAUAGCAUAGCGCAGCAUAGCGCCGCAUAUUGCAUAUGCUUGCAGACUGCAUAUGCUUGCAGACUGCAUAUGCUUGCAGACUGCAUAUGCUUGCAGACUGCAUAUGCUUGCAGACUGUGUAUGCUUGCAGACUGCAUAUGCUUGCAGACUGCAUGUGCUUGCAGACUGCAUAUGCUUGCACAUUGCAAAUGCUUGCAGAUCGCAUAUGGCAUAUGCUUGCAGAUCGCAUAUGGCAUAUGCUUGCAGAUCGCAUAUGCUUGCAGAUCGCAUAUGCUUGCAGAUCGCAUAUGCUUGCAGAUCGCAUAUGCUUGCAGAUCGCAUAUGCUUGCAGAUCGCAUAUGGCAUAUGCUUGCAGAUCGAAUGUGCUUGCAGAUCGCAUAUGGCAUAUGCUUGCAGAUCGCAUAUUGCAUAUGCUUGCAGGUCGCAUAUGGCAUAUGCUUGCUGAUCGCAUAUGUUUGCAGAUCGCAUAUGCUUGCAGAUCGCAUAUUGCAUAUGCUUGCAGGUCGCAUAUGGCAUAUGCUUGCAGAUCGCAUAUUGCAUAUGCUUGCAGGUCGCAUAUGGCAUAUGCUUGCUGAUCGCAUAUGUUUGCAGAUCGCAUAUGCUUGCAGAUCGCAUAUUGCAUAUGCUUGCAGGUCGCAUAUGGCAUAUGCUUGCAGAUCGCAUAUGGCAUAUGCUUGCAGAUCGCAUAUGCUUGCCCUAUGGCAGUCCGGAGACGUGUAACUCGUCAGGCUCAGUAGCUACGGGGCAGUUGUCUGGACAGGUUACUCGCCAGCUAGAAGCUUGGUAAAUGUGCAACCUUGAAAGUGUCAUAAUUAUGCACAGAUAUGCGCGCUGAGUGUGUGAAAUGUUAUGACGAGGUUAGUUAAAAUGUUUGCCAUCCAAUUUGAGUGUGGGGAGGCAUUAUUUGUCCUGACGAUUUGCUCUCUACCUACGGCCAUUUGGCAGUCCAGAGACGUGUAGCGCCCAAGGCUCAGCAGCUACGGGACAGUUGUCUGGACGAGGUUAUUUUUGACGUGCAGUCCCGAAAGCACAAUGGGAAGCAUGAAUAUAGCCGUUGAAUUCAUCAUAAGUGAAAUUUAGGUUACUUCCGGUGUUUGCCACCUGUAUUGGUGCUCCGAUGUAACAUGACAAUUGGUAGUCAUGGUCAUGGCGCAAAGGAACGCCGAUUGUUGCAGCACAAAGUAGAAUAUAGCUCAUGAACAAAUAAGUACAUAGGCAAGGUUACCCGAGGCCGACAUUGAUCGACCUUGUCGACCAGGUCCGCCAAUGUAGUGGGUCCACGCCACAAUAUCCGAAAGUCGGCUGAAAUCAUUUAAAUCCUUGUCAGG